rnacentral:rRNA from 1 species
AUCAACUUUCGAUGGUAGGAUAGAGGCCUACCAUGGUGGUAACGGGUAACGGGGUGUUAGGGCACGACACCGGAGAGGGAGCCUGAGAAACGGCUACCACAUCCAAGGAUGGCAGCAGGCGCGCAAAUUACCCAAUCCCGACACGGGGAGGUAGUGACAAUAAAUAACAAUACGGGGUUCUUUCGGAUUUCGUAAUUGGAAUGAGUACAAUUUAAAUCUCUUAACGAGGAACAAUUGGAGGGCAAGUCUGGUGCCAGCAGCCGCGGUAAUUCCAGCUCCAAUAGCGUAUAUUAAAGUUGUUGCAGUUAAAAAGCUCGUAGUUGAAUUUCGGGAUCAGUACGCUGGUCGUGCCUUCGGUAUGCACUGGUGUCACUGGUUUCUCCCUUCUGAAGAACCAUCAUGCCAUUCAGUUGGUGUGGCGGGAAAUCAGGACUGUUACUUUGAAAAAAUUAGAGUAUUUAAAGCAGGCUCGCGCUUGAAUACAUUAGCAUGGAAUAAUGAAAUAGGACGUUUGACCCUAUUUUGUUGGUUUCUAGGAUCGACGUAAUGCUUAAUAGGGAUAGUUGGGGGCAUUAGUAUUCAAUUGUCAGAGGUGAAAUUCUUGGAUUUAUUGAAGACUAACUACUGCGAAAGCAUUUGCCAAGGAUGUUUUCAUUAAUCAAGAACGAAAGUUAGGGGAUCGAAGACGAUCAGAUACCGUCGUAGUCUUAACCAUAAACUAUGCCGACUAGGGAUCGGAUGAUGUUAAUUUUUUAAUGACUCAUUCGGCGCCUUACGGGAAACCAAAGUGUUUGGGUUC